rnacentral:rRNA from 1 species
UUGGAGGGCAAGUCUGGUGCCAGCAGCCCCGGUAGUUCCAGCUCCAAUAGCGUAUAUUAAAGUUGUUGCAGUUAAAAAGCUCGUAGUUGAAUUUCGGGAUCAAUAUAUCGGUCGUGCCUUGGUACGUACUGGUAUCAUUGGUUUCUCCUUUCUGACGAACCAUGAUGUCACUAAUUUGGUGUUAUGGGAAGUUAGGACUGUUACUUUGAAAAAAUUAGAGUGUUUAAAGCAGGC